UACGGAGGGUGCAAGCGUUGUCCGGAUUUAUUGGGUUUAAAGGGUGCGUAGGCGGCUUGAUAAGUCCGUGGUGAAAGCCAACAGCUCAACUGUUGAACUGCCAUGGAUACUGUCAGGCUUGAGUACAGACGAGGUAGGCGGAAUGGAUCGUGUAGUGGUGAAAUGCAUAGAUACGAUCCAGAACUCCGAUUGCGAAGGCAGCUUACUAGGCUGUAACUGACGCUGAGGCACGAAAGCGUGGGGAGCGAACAGG
rnacentral:rRNA from 1 species